rnacentral:lncRNA from 1 species
UGCUUCAGGAUCCCCAACAGCCCAGGGCCUCUUUUUUUCAAUCCGGCUGCCCCGACGCCAGCCCAGCGGGUGCCCCCAGCUCUGCCCCGGAACCCUGCCCCGCGGAACUCACCGAAUCAGCCAGGCCGUCGAAGGACACCAGGUCUCAGCGGCCACAACUCUCCUCUCGCCGGGUCGCAGCCAUGCAGAGGUGGCAAAGGCUGCCUGAGGAAUCCCCCCUUGGGGGCCGAUGCCUCCCUCCAGGUGGGAAAGAACGCUGUCGGUGAGGUCGAUCCAGGCGCCGCCUCGCGCCGUCCGAAGUCGAGGGUGGGGAUUCUCUCGGCUCAGUGGGGGUCGCGCCCGCCCGAGACCCGGGCCGCGCGGGCGCUCAGGCAGCGCAUCCUCCCCGGGGCCUGUGCUCACCGCGUCCGGCGGGCGGCGCUGUGCCUCCCCUCCGGGUCCAGCUUAGGGCUGCAGCUCCGCCCGGCGCCGCUCCCCCGGGCGCCCUCUCCGCCCGCACCAGGAGCCCGGCGGCCGCGGCCCCUCUCGCCGGCCCCAGCAGCAGCCUGUCUUUGUUGCUUCCUCUCGCUCGACCGCCUGCCGGUGGGUUGCAGCCCCCAGGUUCGCCUGGGGUGGGGGGGGUCGUCUCCUCUGAGGUUGAACGCACCUGCAGCGGCCCGGCUCCUCGCUGGGCAUGCACCGGCCCCCGCAGGUUGCAAAGAACGGCGGCGAGAAUGCACCAGCCCCUCCUCCUCCUGCUCGGAGCCCCGGGUGUUGGGGGAGGGGAAGCCGGAGAGCAGCGGCAAGCCGCUGUGGUGGCAGCGGGCGGUGGAGGCUCGGGUGCAGCCCCGGGGGCCUCGGCGCCGAGAAAUAACCAGUCCAGGUGGCGCAGGGUGGAUGUGGAGACGGCCCGGAGGAUGGUGCACUGGGCGUGCGAGCUCCGGAGCUGCAGCAGGGACGGCUCGCGCUGGGCUCUCACGCGCCCCUGGCCCCGGGCGGCGCGCGGGGGCUCCCGGGGCCUUAGCCUCUCACCGCCUGACGCACGCCAGCGCCUCGUCUCGCUUCGGGCCCAGGUGCCGCGCGCCGCGCCCUACAGGCGGCGUACCCGGCUCUUCGCCUCCCCCGGGCGCCGCGCAGAGCCUCUUCGCGGAGUCACCAGCCCGGCUGUCCCGCCCGCUGCUCCGCUCCGGACCGACUGACAGGCUCUAACGCCGGCAGCGGCAGCCGCGUCUCGCCC